ACCGCUUCCGUCUCCCGCUUUGUCUUCCCACCCUCCCUUUCCUUUUUGGUUUCCUGGCUUACUCUCCAUCUCUUUUGGGAAUUUAAAUUUAAUCCUAUUCACGAAAUUAAGAUAGUGGCGACGGAGUGCCGUCCAUGGCUUUGACUCUUUUCUCUCUUUCCUUCUUCUCCUUUUUCACGUUCGUCUUCGUACAUUUCUAUGCCGUCCAUGCCAGGAUUCCGACGACUUUGGAUGGCCCUUUUGACCCCGUUACCGUCCCUUUUGAUCGGCGCCUCCGCGGCCACGCCGUCGAUUUGUCCGACACCGACCCCAGAGUUCGCCGGCGCGUCAGCGGAUACGAGCCGGAGCAGAUAUCGGUGUCGCUCUCUACGACUCACGACUCUGUCUGGAUUUCUUGGAUCACAGGGGAAUAUCAAAUUGGGAACAACAUAAAGCCGUUAGAUCCUGAAACUGUCUCUAGUGUUGUCCGCUUUGGCAAGUUAAGGUAUCCUUUAAGACAUGAGGCCACAGGUUAUUCUCUCGUUUAUAACCAGCUUUAUCCAUUUGAAGGCCUCCAGAACUACACUUCUGGAAUCAUUCAUCACGUGAGGCUUACAGGAUUAGAGUCUGACGCGCUAUACUACUAUAGAUGCGGUGAUCCCACCAUACCAGCCAUGAGCAAAAUCCAUUCUUUCACAACAAUGCCAGUUUCUGGUCCGCGGAGCUACCCAAAAAGAAUAGCCAUUGUAGGAGAUCUGGGUCUUACAUUCAAUACCACUACCACCAUCGAUCACAUGAUUAGCAACAAACCAAAUCUUGUGCUUUUGGUUGGCGAUGUAACAUAUGCAAACCUGUACCUUACAAAUGGAACCGGUUCCGAUUGUUACUCUUGCUCCUUUCGAAAUACUCCAAUUCAUGAGACCUAUCAGCCCCGCUGGGAUUACUGGGGAAGGUUUAUGCAGAAUUUAGUUUCCAAAGUUCCAAUUAUGGUUGUAGAAGGGAACCAUGAGAUUGAAGAACAGGCAGGGAACCAGACGUUUGUGGCUUAUAGUUCUCGUUUUGCAUUUCCCUCAAAGGAAAGUGGAUCCCCUUCGACGUUCUACUACUCCUUCAAUGCAGGGGGUAUACAUUUCAUCAUGCUUGGUGCCUACAUUGCCUAUAAUAAAUCAGCGGAGCAAUACAAGUGGCUGGAGAAGGACUUGGGCAAUGUAGACCGAUCUGUAACCCCAUGGGUGGUUGCAGCAUGGCACCCACCUUGGUAUAGCAGCUACGAAGCUCAUUACAGAGAAGCAGAGUGCAUGAGGGUGGCAAUGGAGGAGCUGCUCUACUCAUAUGGUGUGGACAUUGUCUUCAACGGUCAUGUUCAUGCGUACGAGAGGUCAAACAGAGUGUAUAACUACACGCUGGAUGAGUGUGGUCCGGUAUACAUCACAGUAGGAGAUGGGGGGAACCGAGAGAAGAUGGCAGUGGGGCAUGCAGAUGAGCCUGGUCACUGCCCACAACCAUGGACUACUCCUGACAGCCACAUCGGCGGCUUCUGCGCUACCAAUUUCACUUCUGGCCCCGCUGCAGGCAAUUUCUGUUGGGACCGCCAACCCGAUUACAGUGCCUACAGAGAAAGCAGCUUCGGCCAUGGCAUCCUUGAGGUGAAGAAUGAGACAUGGGCGCUGUGGACAUGGCACCGGAACCAGGAGUCCUACAAUAAGGUUGGGGAUCAAAUUUACAUAGUGAGGCAGCCGCAUUUAUGCCCCACCCGUCCAUCUACGUCUGCAGGUGGUACUUUUAAGUUCAUGAUGUGGCGUUGGUUCGCUGCCGCUAGAUGAGAAGAUGAUACAUCAAUAUCCAUGUCCUGUCAUCUCACUUUGUUAAAGCUCGAUAUACAGCCCAUAGCGUAACAACUUAACUUUUAGGUUGCAUGUGCGGGAGAGUGUUAAAGCUUGAUAUACAUUGUUGGCUCACAACCUAAUAGCUUAAACUUUUAGGUAAAGUGCUAAUAUAACACACUUCACUAGACGAUUCCUUCCUUCUUUGUUUCCUGAGUUCAUGGCAUGCAAGUGAGCUAGUUUACGGAAUGCUCAACACGAGAAAUUAUACAAGGAUCUUUCCCUCCACAUGAAGUGUAUGAGUAAGGAAACAGACACAUGGACACAUGAAGAGGGAGGUUCCUUAUAUAAUUUCUCUCAACUUGAAGGUCUCGAGGGUGGCAUCUACCAAAUUCAAUUUUAUUUUUCAUUUUUAAACUUAGUAGAUGAUUGAAUGAUUGUGGAGAGAUUUGCAGGACGUUGUGUUGCACCGGGUGGUGUCAAAAGAGGAAAACAUGAACAUGUAUAGAGCACAAAAUUGUUUGUGGGUUCACAAAGGCCCUUAUAGAAUAUGCAUAUCUAAGAAGCAUAAAAGAAUUUCUCUUUCACACUCUCAAAA